GAUCAAGCGAAUAAGUGCAUAUGGUGGAUGCCUAGGCGAUUACAGGCGAUGAAGGACGUGGUAGCCUGCGUAAAAUUUCGGGGAGCUGGCAAACAAGCUUUGAUCCGGAAGUAUCCGAAUGGGGAAACCCACCCGCAAGGGUAACCGCUCUUGAAUAUAUAGAGAGAUGGUGGCAAACCGAGUGAACUGAAACAUCUAAGUAGCUCGAGGAAAAGAAAUCAACCGAGAUUCCGUAAGUAGUGGCGAGCGAACAUGGAAUAGCCUGUUAUUUUUAGCACAUGCGAUAGUAGAACGGAAUGGAAAG
rnacentral:rRNA from 1 species